rnacentral:rRNA from 1 species
UACGUAGGGUGCGAGCGUUGUCCGGAAUUAUUGGGCGUAAAGGGCUCGUAGGCGGUUUGUCGCGUCGGGAGUGAAAACCUGAGGCUCAACCUCAGGCCUGCAGUCGAUACGGGCGGACUUGAGUACUGCAGGGGAGACUGGAAUUCCUGGUGUAGCGGUGAAAUGCGCAGAUAUCAGGAGGAACACCGGUGGCGAAGGCGGGUCUCUGGGCAGUAACUGACGCUGAGGAGCGAAAGCGUGGGGAGCGAACAGG